GCGUUAGUGGUCCAAUGGUUAAGAUGCCUGCCUUCCAAGCAGGCGACCCGGGUUCGAUUCCCGGCUGACGCA